rnacentral:rRNA from 1 species
AACGAACGCUGGCGGCAUGCCUAGCACAUGCAAGUCGAACGAACCCUUCGGGGUUAGUGGCGCACGGGUGCGUAACACGUGGGAAUCUGCCCUUUGCUUCGGAAUAACAGUUAGAGAUGACUGCUAAUACCGGAUAAUGUCGCAAGACCAAAGAUUUAUCGGCAAAGGAUGAGCCCGCGUAGGAUUAGCUUGUUGGUGGGGUAAUGGCCCACCAAGGCGACGAUCCUUAGCUGGUCUGAGAGGACGAUCAGCCACACUGGGACUGAGACACGGCCCAGACUCCUACGGGAGGCAGCAGUGGGGAAUAUUGGACAAUGGGCGAAAGCCUGAUCCAGCAAUGCCGCGUGAGUGAUGAAGGCCUUAGGGUUGUAAAGCUCUUUUACCAGGGAUGAUAAUGACAGUACCUGGAGAAUAAGCUCCGGCUAACUCCGUGCCAGCAGCCGCCGUAA